rnacentral:rRNA from 1 species
UAUCUAAACGGAGAAAUUCAAUACCAAACUUAACAUUUGGUGUGCACUUUUCUCUUAGUAAGACGCCGUGAUCCAUUAGAAAUUGGUAGAUGCCAAUCUACAUGAGGUCAUCAAUGGGCUUGUACGAAGUUUAUUGGAACAAAUGGCAUAAUCUUUCAACGGUUGUGUGUAUUGUCUGGUAAGCGUGCGAGUACUCGUAAUGACUGUCUGAUGGAUUUUAAAGAUUGUAUCAUUGAUGUUUCGGCAUCACUUGCCGCAAGGCAAGAUUUCGAUAUAUAUCCGAUCAACGGUGGUUAAAUUUGGGAUACCUUUUGGACCCGUCUUGAAACACGGACCAAGGAGUCUAUCUAAUGUGCGAGUAAAUGGGUAUAUUUUGAAACCUAUUUGCGUAAUAAACGUAACUAUUUUAUGGGAUUACGUGAUUAUAUCCUUUAAUCGGGAGUAGUCUCUUCCAUCCCGGAGUACUUUUAUCAACAUAUGCGCAAGUAUAUGGAAAGUAUAUCAUGAGCAUAUUGGAUACGACCCGAAAGAUGGUGAACUAUGCCUGAUCAGGUCGAAGUCAGGGGAAACCCUGAUGGAGGACCGAAGCAGUUCUGACGUGCAAAUCGAUUGUCAGAAUUGGGCAUAGGGGCGAAAGACCAAUCGAACCAUCUAG